rnacentral:lncRNA from 1 species
CCUGAUCCUUCAUGAUCCAUUAAGGAUGUCCUUGCGUCUGAAGAAGCAAAUGCCUCUUUCAGUUACUAUAAACUAGUUUGGGGAGGUAAAUAUCUUCUUCUGUUGGAUCUCUGGACUGAUGCGAUUUCUGCUGAUAUUGCAGUUAAGUGCAUUGGAGCCAGGUCAUGUAACUACUACCGGGCCUGCCAUGAAGUUCAUGCUUGGCAGACCUGUAAUCAGG